GAGGAAUAUUGGACAAUGGGCGAGAGCCUGAUCCAGCCAUGCCGCGUGCAGGAAGACUGCCCUAUGGGUUGUAAACUGCUUUUAUACAGGAAGAAACACUCCCUCGUGAGGGAGCUUGACGGUACUGUAAGAA
rnacentral:rRNA from 1 species